rnacentral:rRNA from 1 species
AUAACAGUUGGAAACGACUGCUAAUACCGCAUACGAUCUAAUCUCGGCAUCGAGGAUAGAUGAAAGGUGGCCUCUACAUGUAAGCUAUCACUGAAGGAGGGGAUUGCGUCUGAUUAGCUAGUUGGAGGGGUAAUGGCCCACCAAGGCGAUGAUCAGUAGCCGGUCUGAGAGGAUGAACGGCCACAUUGGGACUGAGACACGGCCCAG